AGUUGGUCCGAGUGCAGUGGUGUUUACAACUAAUUGAUCAUAACCAGUUACAAAUUCCUUUGUUCCUUCUCCACUCCCACUGCUUCACUUGACUAGAAAA
ensembl:misc_RNA Y_RNA Y RNA